rnacentral:rRNA from 1 species
UACGGGGGGGGGCAAGCGUUUGUUCGGAAUUACUGGGCGUAAAGGGCUCGUAGGCGGCCAACUAAGUCAGACGUGAAAUCCCUCGGCUUAACCGGGGAACUGCGUCUGAUACUGGAUGGCUUGAAUCCGGGAUAGGGAUGUGGAAUUCCCGGUGUAGUGGUGGAAUGCGUAGAUAUCGGGAGGAACAUCAGUGGCGAAAGCGGCACCCUGGCAUUAGCCUGACGCUCAUGUGCGAAAGCGUGGGGAGCGAACGGG